GACGAACGCUGGCGGCGUGCUUAACACAUGCAAGUCGAACGGAAAGGCCCUGCUUUUGUGGGGUGCUCGAGUGGCGAACGGGUGAGUAACACGUGAGUAACCUGCCCUUGACUUUGGGAUAACUUCAGGAAACUGGGGCUAAUACCGGAUAGGAGCUCCUGCUGCAUGGUGGGGGUUGGAAAGUUUCGGCGGUUGGGGAUGGACUCGCGGCUUAUCAGCUUGUUGGUGGGGUAUUGGCUUACCAAGGCUUUGACGGGUAGCUGGCCUGAGAGGGUGACCGGCCACAUUGGGACUGAGAUACGGCCCAGACUCCUACGGGAGGCAGCAGUGGGGAAUAUUGCACAAUGGGCGGAAGCCUGAUGCAGCAACGCCGCGUGCGGGAUGACGGCCUUCGGGUUGUAAACCGCUUUCGCCUGUGACGAAGCGUGAGUGACGGUAAUGGGUAAAGAAGCACCGGCUAACUACGUG
rnacentral:rRNA from 1 species